rnacentral:rRNA from 1 species
AAUUGAUCCCGCGGGCCCAAACACAACACCGGGGCCCCCCCGGUUUUUUUUUUACCCCUGAAUAAACUUACAGAAUCUACCUACUAGUGGGGGAUAGCUCGGGGAAACUUAAUACCGCAUACGACCUACGGGAGAAAGGGGGCAACUUGUUGCUCUCGCUAUUAGAUGAGCCUAAGUCGGAUUAGCUAGAUGGUGGGGUAAAGGCCUACCAUGGCGACGAUCUGUAGCUGGUCUGAGAGGAUGAUCAGCCACACCGGGACUGAGACACGGCCCGGACUCCUACGGGAGGCAGCAGUGGGGAAUAUUGGACAAUGGGGGCAACCCUGAUCCAGCCAUGCCGCGUGUGUGAAGAAGGCCUUUUGGUUGUAAAGCACUCAGUGAAGAAGACUCCAUGGUUAAUACCCAUGGACGAUGACAUUAGCUGCAGAAUAAGCACCGGCUAACUCUGUGCCAGCAGCCGCGGUAAUACAGAGGGUGCAAGCGUUAAUCGGAAUUACUGGGCGUAAAGCGAGCGUAGGUGGCUUGAUAAGUCAGAUGUGAAAGCCCCGGGCUUAACCUGGGAACGGCAUCUGAUACUGUUAGGCUAGAGUAGGUGAGAGGAAGGUACAGGUGUAGCGGUGAAAUGCGUAGAGAUCUGGAGGAAUACCGAUGGCGAAGGCAGCCUUCUGGCAUCAUACUGACACUGAGGUAGCGUGGGUAGCAAACAGGAUUAGAUACCCUGGUAGUCCACGCCGUAAACGAUGUCUACUAGUCGUUGGGUCCCUUGAGGACUUAGUGACGCAGCUAACGCAAUAAGUAGACCGCCUGGGGAGUACGGCCGCAAGGUUAAAACUCAAAUGAUUUGACGGGGCCCGCACAAGCGGUGGAGCAUGUGGUUUGAUGCAACGCGAAAACCUUACCUGGUCUUGACAUAUCUAGAAUCCUGCAAGAUGCGGGAGUGCCUUCGGGAUUAGAUACAGGUGCCUGCAUGCUGUCGUCAGCCUCGUGUCCGUGAAAUGUUGGGUAAGUCCCGCAACGAGCGCCCACCCCUGGUCCUUAGUUACCAGCGUUGGCCGGAACUCUAAGAUACUGCCAGUGAACAACUGGAGGAAGGCCGGGGUACCGAGCGUCAGUUCAUCAUGGGCCUUUACGACCAGGGCCUACCACCGCG